rnacentral:rRNA from 1 species
CAAGGAAUUUUCGGCAAUGGGCGCAAGCCUGACCGAGCAACGCCGCGUGCAGGAUGACGGCUUUCGGGUUGUAAACUGCUUUUGGGGGGAUGACACGGACCGUACCCUCCGAAUAAGCCCCGGCUAACUCUGUGCCAGCAGCCGCGGUAAUACAGAGGGGGCAAGCGUUGUCCGGAUUGACUGGGCGUAAAGCGUCCGUAGGUGGUGCGCUAGGUGGGGUGUGAAAACGCGUGGCUUAACCAAGCGAGGCCAUCCCAAACCCGCGUACUCGAGCACGGCAGAGGUCGGUGGAAUUGCCGGUGUAGUGGUGAAAUGCGUAGAGAUCGGCAGGAACACCAAGGGCGCAAGCAGCCGACUGGGCCGUCGCUGACGCUGAGGGACGACAGCGUGGGGAGCGAACCGGAUUAGAUACCCGGGUAGUCCACGCCGUAAACGAUGUACGCUAGUCCUCGGGGCGCUAUCCACGCGCUUGGGGGACGCAGCUAACGCGCAAGCGUACCGCCUGGGAACUACGAGCGCAAGC